rnacentral:tRNA from 1 species
CGGGACAUAGCUCAGUUUGGUAGAGUGCCUGCUUUGGGAGCAGGAUGCCGCAGGUUCAAAUCCUGUUGUCCCGA